GGGGAAUAUUGGACAAUGGGGCAACCCUGAUCCAGCAAUGCCGCGUGUGUGAAGAAGGUCUUCGGAUUGUAAAGCACUUUCGACGGGGACGAUGAUGACGGUACCCGUAGAAGAAGCCCCGGCUAACUUCGUGCCAGCAGCCGCGGUAAUACGAAGGGGGCUAGCGUUGCUCGGAAUGACUGGGCGUAAAGGGCGUGUAGGCGGUUUACACAGUCAGAUGUGAAAUCCCCGGGCUUAACCUGGGAGCUGCAUUUGAUACGUGUAGACUAGAGUGUGGAGAGAGGGUUGUGGAAUUCCCAGUGUAGAGGUGAAAUUCGUAGAUAUUGGGAAGAACACCGGUGGCGAAGGCGGCAACCUGGCUCAUGACUGACGCUGAGGCGCGAAAGCGUGGGGAGCAAACAGGAUUAGAUACCCUGGUAGUCCACGCUGUAAAACGAUGUGUGCUAGAUGUUGGG
rnacentral:rRNA from 1 species